AGGGGUGCCGGCACUGCCGAGGCAGCGCCUCAAACUCGUCCUCGCCCCUACGUUCGCCUGGGCUGCGCGGGGACCCGCGGCCAUCGUGGGUGGGAUACCCGCGCCCCCACCGCUGCCCGCCGCGGAGGAGCCGGCUGGCCAGAGCGCACCUUACCUCGAAGAGGGGACCGAUCUUAUUCUUCUCCAGCCUGACUUCUCAAAGCAGCAGCACGUCCAGACCUGCUGAGAUAUGGCCAUUUCAGAACCCGCAAACUGUCACUGCUCUGUGGAGACCAGGAAGAGGACAGAAGAAAAGGAACAAGACUGUCAGCAAUAUGAGACAGAAUGAAUAGAAAAGAUAAUUUAUUAAAAGAGGUUUUAAAGAUAGC